rnacentral:rRNA from 1 species
AAUAGAUACCCCGGUAGUCCACGCCGUAAACGAUGUCGACUUGGAGGUUGUGCCCUUGAGGCGUGGCUUCCGGAGCUAACGCGUUAAGUCGACCGCCUGGGGAGUACGGCCGCAAGGUUAAAACUCAAAUGAAUUGACGGGGGGCCCGCACAAGCGGUGGAGCAUGUGGUUUAAUUCGAUGCAACGCGAAGAACCUUACCUACUCUUGACAUCCAGAGAACUUAGCAGAGAUGCUUUGGUGCCUUCGGGAACUCUGAGACAGGUGCUGCAUGGCUGUCGUCAGCUCGUGUUGUGAAAUGUUGGGUUAAGUCCCGCAACGAGCGCAACCCUUAUCCUUUGUUGCCAGCGGUUAGGCCGGGAACUCAAAGGAGACUGCCAGUGAUAAACUGGAGGAAGGUGGGGAUGACGUCAAGUCAUCAUGGCCCUUACGAGUAGGGCUACACACGUGCUACAAUGGUAUAUACAAAGAGAAGCGACCUCGCGAGAGCAAGCGGACCUCAUAAAGUAUGUCGUAGUCCGGAUUGGAGU